rnacentral:rRNA from 1 species
AUUGAACGCUGGCGGCAUGCCUUACACAUGCAAGUCGAACGGCAGCGCGGGGCAACCUGGCGGCGAGUGGCGAACGGGUGAGUAAUAUAUCGGAACGUACCCUGGAGUGGGGGAUAACGUAGCGAAAGUUACGCUAAUACCGCAUACGAUCUAAGGAUGAAAGUGGGGGAUCGCAAGACCUCAUGCUCCCGGAGCGGCCGAUAUCUGAUUAGCUAGUUGGUAGGGUAAAAGCCUACCAAGGCAUCGAUCAGUAGCUGGUCUGAGAGGACGACCAGCCACACUGGAACUGAGACACGGUCCAGACUCCUACGGGAGGCAGCAGUGGGGAAUUUUGGACAAUGGGCGCAAGCCUGAUCCAGCAAUGCCGCGUGAGUGAAGAAGGCCUUCGGGUUGUAAAGCUCUUUUGUCAGGGAAGAAACGGCAGUUUCUAAUACAGAUUGCUAAUGACGGUACCUGAAGAAUAAGCACCGGCUAACUACGUGCCAGCAGCCGCGGUAAUACGUAGGGUGCAAGCGUUAAUCGGAAUUACUGGGCGUAAAGCGUGCGCAGGCGGUUUUGUAAGUUUGUCGUGAAAUCCCCGGGCUCAACCUGGGAAUGGCGAUGAAGACUGCAAGGCUAGAAUCUGGCAGAGGGGGGUAGAAUUCCACGUGUAGCAGUGAAAUGCGUAGAGAUGUGGAGGAACACCGAUGGCGAAGGCAACCCCCUGGGUCAAGAUUGACGCUCAUGCACGAAAGCGUGGGGAGCAAACAGGAUUAGAUACCCUGGUAGUCCACGCCCUAAACGAUGUCUACUAGUUGUCGGGUUUUAAUUAACUUGGUAACGCAGCUAACGCGUGAAGUAGACCGUCUGGGGAGUACGGUCGCAGAUUAAAACUCAAAGGAAUUGACGGGGACCCGCACAAGC